AUGAGAAAUGAAUUGCUGGGGAAAACCAUGAUGCGCUUCGUUUUCUUUUAUGAAAUGGUAACCACAGUCGCCAGUCAAUUGUUCCUUAGGACAACCACUGCAUUCCUAUUCUGGCUUAGAGGUGAAGAAGUUGACAGCAUAAUGGAUAAGGAACCUGUGUACAGGCCCUACGGCAAGAGAUUAACAGGUAGGACUCCAAUGCCUUUAUUGACUAAACAAACUCUCUUGGGUCCACUCAGCUAUGGUGACAGGUGUCAGAGCCAAGCACGGGGCCCUCAGGCCUCUGUGCCUUGGAACGUAAUUAGAUAUUUGCUCCGUGGCCUAUACAUCGUGUAUAUCCUCUGGUCUUACAAACUGAUAACUCCAUCCCCCCACUUCUCUUCAGGGCUUUACACUUUGGAGCUGGCUACCCAAGAUUGUCCAGCAAGCAGUUUUUUUUUUUCCUUAAAACAAGAAAGGGAAAGGAAAGAAAAGAUUUGCAUUGUUUGUAGGUCUGAAAGUAGCAAGAAUUUUAACUUGUUCCUGGAACAAACCCUGGAGCAUUCGAAAUGGGAGUGGAAUUAG
rnacentral:lncRNA from 12 species